GGGUUCAUGGCCUAAUGGUAAGGCGUCAGAUUUCGGUUCCACUUAAUGGUACUCCGCUCUCUGAAGAUUGCAGGUUCGAUCCCUGCUGAGCUCG